GACCUACGGGGCGCAGCAGUGAGGAAUAUUGGUCAAUGGGCGGGAGCCUGAACCAGCCAAGUCGCGUGAGGGAAGACGGUCCUAUGGAUUGUAAACCUCUUUAGGCGGGGAGCAAUGCCGGGCACGCGUGCCCGGAGGGAGAGUACCCGCAGAAUAAGCAUCGGCUAACUCCGUGCCAGCAGCCGCGGUAAUACGGAGGAUGCGAGCGGUAUCCGGAUUUAUUGGGUUUAAAGGGUGGGUGGGGGGAUUUUUAAUU
rnacentral:rRNA from 1 species